rnacentral:antisense_RNA from 1 species
AUUCUCGCCCGUCCACUCCCAGCGUAAAGAGGAUUCCGCGACUCGGAGACCGCAAUCUACCCGCCAGUCUCUAUAAUGUAGGCCAGAGCAGCUGGGCUGAAUAAAACAGAGCCGGGGCUCUCCCUUCCCAAAGGCCUACAUCGCCCACCGGUCCGGGCUCGGAGCUCAGCAGAACCAGAGAAGGAGCGGUUGUUGCCGGCACGGAGGAGGGAGAGCUCUUGUGACGCUACGAACCUCUCGAACACCUGACGACUGGGCGCCAGGGCCGGAUGGAUGGUGGAGAGCCACUGCGGCGCAGCUGCCUCCUCUUAACGGGGACACCUAGCAGGAAUGUGCGGAGUGGAGCUAAGGGGAGCGGAUAGAAACCGAGGGAGGGGAAGAGAGCGCGAAGGCUUGGCCGGAAGGAGAGGUUAAAAAGGAAAGGCCUAAAAUGAGGAAGAGAGUUACCACAACAAGCAGUACCUAGUUCCAGUUCUUGGUCCCAGGAGUUUGUGGUUGUUGCUGCUUUCAUCUUCCUCAGCCAACACAAAAGGAAAGUGCCAAGGGGCGAUUCCUAGGACCUUCAGUGCAGUCUCCACCUUGCGGACUUGGCUUAUUUGUGUGCACUCCUUUCUCCAGCCUUUUACACUUGAUGCUCUUGGAUGAAUAGAA